GCGAGUGAACCGGGAAGAGCUCAAAUUUGAAAUCUGGCGUCCUCAGGGCGUCCGAGUUGUAAUCUAUAGAGGCGUUUUCCGUGCCGGACCGUGUCCAAGUUCCUUGGAACAGGAUAUCAAAGAGGGUGACAAUCCCGUACUUGACACGACGACCGGUGCUCUGUGAUACGUCUUCUACGAGUCGAGUUGUUUGGGAAUGCAGCUCAAAAUGGGUGGUGAGUUCCAUCUAAAGCUAAAUAUUGGCGAGAGACCGAUAGCGAACAAGUACCGUGAGGGAAAGAUGAAAAGCACUUUGGAAAGAGAGUUAAACAGUACGUGAAAUUGUUGAAAGGGAAACGAUUGAAGUCAGUCGUGACCGAGAGGCUCAGCCGGUUCUGCCGGUGUAUUCCCCUCGGUCGGGUCAACAUCAGUUUUGUCCGGUGGAUAAGGGCGGUAGGAAGGUGGCACCCUCGGGUGUGUUAUAGCCUGCCGUCGCAUACAUCGGGUGAGACUGAGGAACGCAGCUCGCCUUUAUGGCCGGGGUUCGCCCACGUCCGAGCUUAGGAUGUUGACAUAAUGGCUUUAAACGACCCGUCUUGA
rnacentral:rRNA from 1 species